rnacentral:rRNA from 1 species
UACGAAGGGGGCUAGCGUUGUUCGGAAUUACUGGGCGUAAAGCGCACGUAGGCGGAUCGAUCAGUCAGGGGUGAAAUCCCAGAGCUCAACUCUGGAACUGCCUUUGAUACUGUCGGUCUAGAGUAUGGAAAGAGGUGAGUGGAAUUCCGAGUGUAGAGGUGAAAUUCGUAGAUAUUCGGAGGAAACACCAGUGGCGAAGGGCGGCUCACUGGUCCAUUACUGACGCUGAGGUGGCGAAAAGCGUGGGGAGCAACAGG